rnacentral:rRNA from 1 species
AUUGAACGCUGGCGGCAGGCCUAACACAUGCAAGUCGAACGGUAACAGGAAACAGCUUGCUGUUUCGCUGACGAGUGGCGGACGGGUGAGUAAUGUCUGGGAAACUGCCUGAUGGAGGGGGAUAACUACUGGAAACGGUAGCUAAUACCGCAUAACGUCGCAAGACCAAAGAGGGGGACCUUCGGGCCUCUUGCCAUCUGAUGUGCCCAGAUGGGAUUAGCUAGUAGGUGGGGUAACGGCUCACCUAGGCGACGAUCCCUAGCUGGUCUGAGAGGAUGACCAGCCACACUGGAACUGAGACACGGUCCAGACUCCUACGGGAGGCAGCAGUGGGGAAUAUUGCACAAUGGGCGCAAGCCUGAUGCAGCCAUGCCGCGUGUAUGAAGAAGGCCUUCGGGUUGUAAAGUACUUUCAGCGGGGAGGAAGGGAGUAAAGUUAAUACCUUUGCUAAUUGACGUUACCCGCAGAAGAAGCACCGGCUAACUCCGUG